GAUGAACGCUGGCGGCGUGCCUAAUACAUGCAAGUCGAGCGAAGCGGGGGUGGGUGAGGAACACGUGGAUAAACUCCUAUAAGACUGGGAUAACUUCGGGUAACAGUAGCUAAACCUGCUACUUAGAGAUGGAUCCGCGCUGCAUUAGCUAGUGGGUAAGGUAACGGCUUACAAAGGCAACGAUGCAUCGCCGACCUGAGAGGGGUACCGGCCACACUGGAACCGAGACACGGUCCAGACUCCGACGGGAGGCAGCAGUAGGGAAUCGGCCGAAAUGGGCGAAAGCCUGACGGAGCGUCGCCGCGUGAGUGAUGAAGGUCUUCGGAUCGUAAAUCUCUGUUAUUAGGGGAGCGGGACCUAAUCAGAAAGCCACGGCUAACUACGUGCCAGCAGCCGCGGUAAUAC
rnacentral:rRNA from 1 species